UACAGAGGGUGCUAGCAUUGUUCGGAAUUAUUGGGCGUAAAGGGCGCGUAGGCGGCCCUGUGUGUCGGGUGUGAAAGCCCACCUCUUAAAGGUGGAAUUGCAUUCGAAACUACAGGGCUGGAGUGUCGGAGAGGAUGGCGGAAUUCCUGGUGUAGAGGUGAAAUUCGUAGAUAUCAGGAGGAACACCGGUGGCGAAGGCGGCCAUCUGGACGACACUGACGCUGAGGCGCGAAAGCGUGGGGAUCAAACAGG
rnacentral:rRNA from 1 species